rnacentral:rRNA from 1 species
CUACGGAGGGUCCAAGCGUUAUCCGGAAUCAUUGGGUUUAAAGGGUCCGCAGGCGGUCAAUUAAGUCAGAGGUGAAAGCCCAUCGCUCAACGAUGGAACUGCCUUUGAUACUGGUUGACUUGAGUUAUACGGAAGUAGAUAGAAUAAGUAGUGUAGCGGUGAAAUGCAUAGAUAUUACUUAGAAUACCGAUUGCGAAGGCAGUCUACUACGUAUAUACUGACGCUGAGGGACGAAAGCGUGGGGAGCGAACAGGAGUAGAAACCCUAGUAGUCC